AUCUCGGCUCUCGCAUCGAUGAAGAACGUAGCGAAAUGCGAUACUUGGUGUGAAUUGCAGAAUCCCGUGAACCAUCGAGUCUUUGAACGCAAGUUGCGCCCGAAGCCUUUAGGUCGAGGGCACGCCUGCCUGGGCGUCACGCAUCGCGUCUCCCCCCACCAC
rnacentral:rRNA from 1 species